rnacentral:rRNA from 1 species
CCUACGGGUGGCAGCAGUAGGGAAUAUUGCUCAAUGGGGGAAACCCUGAAGCAGCAACGCCGCGUGGAGGAUGAAGGUUUUCGGAUUGUAAACUCCUUUUGUAAGAGAAGAUAAUGACGGUAACUAAUGAAUAAGCAUCGGCUAACUCCGUGCCAGCAGCCGCGGUCAUACGGAGGGUGCAAGCGUUACCCGGAAUCACUGGGCGUAAAGAGCGCGGUGGCGGGUUAGGAAGUGAGAGGUGAAAUCCUAUGGCUUAACCAUAAGACUACAUUUGAAACUGUUAUUCUAGAGUAUGGGAGAGGUAGGUGGAAUUCUUGGUGGAGGAGUAAAAUCCGUAGAGAUCAAGAGGAAUACUCAUUGCGAAGGCGACCUGCUAGAACAUAACUGACACUAAUGCGCGAAAGCGUAGGGAGCAAACAGGAUUAGAUACCCCGGUAGUC